rnacentral:rRNA from 1 species
AUUGAACGCUGGCGGCAUGCCUUACACAUGCAAGUCGAACGGCAGCACGGGUGCUUGCACCUGGUGGCGAGUGGCGAACGGGUGAGUAAUACAUCGGAACGUACCUUAUCGUGGGGGAUAACGCAGCGAAAGCUGUGCUAAUACCGCAUACGCCCUGAGGGGGAAAGCGGGGGAGCGAAAGACCUCGCGCGAUUAGAGCGGCCGAUGCCUGAUUAGAUUGUUGGUGGGGUAAAAGCCCACAAAGGCGACGAUCAGUAGCUGGUCUGAGAGGACAAUCAGCCACACUGGGACUGAGACACGGCCCAGACUCCUACGGGAGGCAGCAGUGGGGAAUUUUGGACAAUGGGGGCAACCCUGAUCCAGCAAUGCCGCGUGAGUGAAGAAGGCCUUCGGGUUGUAAAGCUCUUUUGUCAGGGAAGAAACACCGGCUCUAACACAGUCCGGGAAUGACGGUACCUGAAGAAUAAGCACCGGCUAACUACGUGCCAGCCGCCGCCGUAA